UGAAUACUGGAGGACUAAGUGGUAAAUUAACAUUCGGGGAAGGGACCCAAGUGACGGUAAUAUCUG